AGAAAGGCAAUGACUGGGUAAGUACGGCCAUGGCGCAAGCGCAGAGAGGGAACGGCUGGUGUAAGUUCCCGUGAGCAUGGAUCGGAGGGUCGCCCAAGGAGCAGCCGGGCUGAACAGGGGGGAUAUCCCUCAGUAGGUGCGGACGGUUCCCCACCGUUAUCGGGGUGAGAGCGCGCAGGGCACUGCCCUGCGAAUUUAGGUGGUACCACGGAGCAUGACUUCGUCCUAUGG
rnacentral:ncRNA from 1 species